CGAUUCUUCAACCCAGUGGUUCAGGGAAACAACCCUUUCAUCCAUCAGGGAAAACAACAAUAUGCAGGAACCAACUGGGAUGAUAUAAAUAUCCCAACUACUCCUUUCUUUUCACAGAAGGCAAUUCAAGAAUGGACUGGACUCAACUUCUCCAGAUAAAUUUAUAGUAAUUUAAAAACCAAGUAAGGCACUCCAUAAAUAUUUAAAUGAAAACUGACCAAAGUGUAACCCAGAGUAAAAUCUGUUAUACUAGAUUUUAGUAAUUUCCUGCACUUAUUUCCUGCCAUUGAACACAUCACAAAUACAUGACUCCAACCACAUGACUUUGCUCAGCCAAUCGGAUGGCAUGUAGGUCAUAGUAAGCCUGUCCCGGCUUCCUCCCGUCAGAUGCGUGGAGGCAAGCCAGGUGACAGAGCUGUUGCAGACGCUGAUUACUGCGAGCCAGAGCCAUAGUGUUGUCGUGCAGAACGGAAUUGGCCAGGUGAACCUUUUUGGGUAUGGAAAAGGAUGGCCAGCCAAUGAACGGCUAGGAGCAGGAAUCAUUCUGCAUUGAAGCUUCCACUGGUUGGGUAGGAAGCUAUCAAAGACGACGCUCUGUCCCCAUUUUCCGAAUACACUGAUUUCCACAAUCAUACACACCAUUCCCCCCGUUUAUGGACAAUAGCGCUUGGACAUCUCUCAUGGACAUUCAGAUAAAA